UUUGAUCCUUGGCAUUGCAUAUAAAUAAAUAAAUAAAUAAAAUAUCCAUUGACAACUAAAAAGUACUUUUUAAAAAGGCAAAUAAUACCAAUCGUUUGUGCAGGAUAUAAAUCAGGAAGUUUUCUAAUAUUCAUAGGGAGAAAUGGCUAGAAUGGCUAAGAAAUGCAGAGUUAGCUAAAAAUAUAGAAAAAUAUUUUUAUUUCUCAUUCACUUCUGCAAACUUUACUUCCUAAUCGUAAGUUCAAGAUCUUUUGCUAAUUUAUUUUCCUAUCCUCAAAAGUCCUAAUCUUCUACCAUGCUCCCAGAUUGGAAAACUGGUUUUCUAUUCUCAGUGCAUGACUCAAUAAUUCCCAUCCUUAGGUAUUUACUAUAAUGAUUUUAUACCACUGUGAGGAAUUUCCAUAUUAAUACUACUUGGAAUAUCAUCUCUUCAGUCAUCCAAGCACUAUCUCUGCUAAAAUUAUAAACCUCAUUUUUAAGUAGGCAAAAAAGACUUAAAUAAAGGACAUUAUUUCUUAGUUUUAAAACUGUACCCAUUUUUAAACACUGUUGUCUAAUACACGGAAUCUGGAAAUUCUAACUCAUUUCUAAUACUUUGAGUUGGAGCUGGGAUGAGGAUAGAUAGGACAUUUUUUAAAACUGAAAAUGCACAGAGGCUAGGAUGGGUUGUGGGAACUUUUUCUAAAAGGGAAAUAAUUUUUCCAUGGCAUAAGGUUGCUGGCAUAUAACUUUAUCUUCUUUUUAUUUGUACCUCCAUAAGCAAAAACUAGGAAUCUUUGAAAAAAAAAAACAGGGCUUUUAUUUAACUGGAUAGGUGUAAACAGAGAGACCAAAGAUGAAGGAAAAGAUCUGAUAUGAAAUAAUCAAGCACAAUCUGUAUGAACCAGACAGAGUCCACAGUGGUGAGAUGCUAUGUUCUGGUUCUGGGCAAUUUAACUCAUAUUCAGGAAUGGAGUUAGGGAUUACUUAGACAAUGAUGCAUAAGCU
rnacentral:lncRNA from 1 species